GACGAACGCUGGCGGCGCGCUUAACACAUGCAAGUCGAACGGAAAGGCCUGCUUUCCCUUGUGGAUUGCGGGUACUCGAGUGGCGAACGGGUGAGUAACACGUGAGUGAUCUGCCCCCAACUUGGGUAUAAGCCUGGGAAACUGGGGCUAAUUCCCGAUAGGACUGCAGGGUGGUGCCUGUGGUGGAAAACGAUUUUCUAGUGGUUGGGGAUGAGCUCGCGGCCUAUCAGCUUGUUGGUGGGGUAAUGGCCUACCAAGGCGGCGACGGGUAGCCGGCCUGAGAGGGUGGACGGCCACAUUGGGACUGAGAUACGGCCCCGACUCCUACGGGAGGCAGCAGUGGGGACUCUUGCACAGUGGGCGGAAGCCUGAUGCAGCGACGCCGCGUGGGGGAUGCCGGCCUUCGGGUGGUAAACUCCUUUCGACCGCGAGGAAGCCACCUGGUUGGAAGGGUGGUGACGGUAGUGGUAGAAGAAGCACCGGCUAACUACGUG
rnacentral:rRNA from 1 species